AGACAGAGCUCUGGGUAGAGUCUGGGUAGAGGGACCUGUGGUGGGAGAAAGAGAGAAGAUCAGAGUGGAGGGGAGAAGCAGGGUUGGGGCCUUGAAGGUACUGCUGAGCAUGUGGGUCCUUAUCCUUACCCUGCAUUGCCCGCAGGCCUGACCUUUGCUUCAUUCUUCAUGGCUGCCAAGUGAGAGUGUGGCCCCUGCAGAUGGUUGGAUCAUCCAUCCAGUUCUUUGCUUCCUCUAGCUGAUAUCCUUCUUUGCUGUACUAUAUGGGAAAAGCAAGAAAUAUUUGACACCAAAAUUGCUUCCUUUGUGUGGCCCCGUAUUGCCCUGUAUAGAAGCAUUUCGUCUUCACAACAACUCUAUGAGCAGUGUGAAGAUGGACUAAUACAAAGAGGAACUAGGGGAGCUUGGAGGAACCAGAGACUCAAUCAGGGAUUCAAGUGAAGUCUCUGUUGCAAACCCUUGAGCAGGAUGAUCCCACCUGUCGAGACCACAGGCUGUAACUCACUGUCACAAGUUAGUGAUGAACGCGGAACCUUAAUGAAACCGCCAGCGACAGCUGUGCCAUACUGCAAGUCACCACUAGGGGGAAGCAGAAUACAAGCAUCCGGAAGGCUCCGGAGAGCUGCCUCACUUCUGCCACCACGUGAGGACACAGAGAGAAGACUCACCUGUGAAUCAGAAAGCAGCCCUCACCGGACACCAAAUCCAUCAGCACCUUGACCUUGGACUUACUUCCCACCCUCCAGAACCGUGGGAAAUACAUUUCUGUUGUCUAUGAGUUACCCGAUCUAAGGCAUUUUGUUAUAGCAGCCUGAACAGACUAAGACACCAGCUCAGGCUCCCCUCUUGAGCUCCACACACGUCUAACCAAAUGCCGACAAUCCAUCUCUAUCCUGUCAACCUGCCUGUAAGUCAUAUUUGACACAUUCAAAAUCGAGUUUAUCAUGCCUUUGCGCCUCCCAAACCAGCUCCUCCCCUCAUAUGUCCUAUCACCACAAGUGCCCAGAAGGGGAGUGGCACACGGAAGGAAGCAAUCUGGGCGAUGGGGGUGGAAUUAGAUGGCAGAGAUUUGUGACAAGCAUAGAAGACCACCCAGCACGCUCAGGGGCAGCAUCAAUCAUAAGUCACAUCACAGCAGAGCCAUGGUGCUCAUCACAGCAGAGCCAUGGUGCUCAAGUCCCGACAGGGAGAGAGGGUGAGGGAGAGAGAGAGAGAGAGGGAAAGAGGGAGAGAGAGGGACAGAGAGAGACAGAGAGAGAGAGAGAGAUGCAGGGACCCUCGACCCAUGCAGGUGGGCUUGGGAUCAUGAGAGCACAUGAGGAUAGACCCCAGGCUGGCUUCACUGAGACGCCACCCAGAGAAAGGCAGCUGGAGGAUGAGGUGGGAAUGGAGCCCUUGCCACCUUCCUGGAGCUCCAAGCCAGUCACCCUCACCAGGGGCCCAGAGGCCAUUGGGGCAAACAGCACUGAAACUCUUUCAAACCCUGCUGGCCACUUCCCUCCCUUGGGGAGCAGCAGAGAAGCCCACUGGUGGCCAGUGCUCAGUCAGCACAGCUGAGGUGGGCUGGCAAAACUCCUGGCUCUCUCUGUCUCCGAGAAUUGGCUGGGGCAUCUGAUGGUGGUUGCAGAGCCUCAUCUCCCCUCUCUUGAACUUAGCGGAGAUCAGGCUCAGCAGAUCUGCCCAGGUCCCCAGGAGGCCGGGCUGGUUACAGUCUCUGGGGACCAGGUGCUCCCCUUUUGAACCAAGGUUAUUUCUCCCAACCAGGGAGCUUCCAUAAUCACAGGGAUGUCCCCUGACCCCAUCCCUACAAAUAUGUAGAGUGCAAGGGAGCAGGCAGCAGGGGGCAGGGGUGGGCUCUUAAUCCCUGGCAGGGAGCUGCUGCCGUCUGAUCCUCUGAUCCGAGUUGUGGGACAGCACUGGGUGUGUGCUCCUACUUCCUGGCUUAUAGGUUUCCUCCUCUGUGUGGCACCAGCAUGUGUGUCCUUGACUCCUUAGCAGAGAGGAGCCAAUUCACUCUGUCUGUGAAGCCAAAACACAAGAGACCUGCAAGUUUUGAACCCUCCUCUCCACCAAGAUGUGAGACGUAUACUGGCAGAUCCCUGAGAUCCCAUUAGGCUCAGGCCCUCCACCCACCGCCUCUUCUGGGCUCAAGCCUCCCUCUGGCACCUGCAGCACAGAACAGCCUCCUCCAGCCUGGCUCCACGCCUGCCCCACCCCCAUCUUCCUCCACCCUACCCCCUGGAAUGAGCUUCCCAAAAGGCAGAUCUUACCAGGUCUCUCUCCUCCUUGGAGCACUUAUCAAUCUCUACUUGCCUUUUCCAUUCUCUUCUCCCCAUCCGUUUCUACAUAUGGGUUUCCUCCCCAGUUUCACUGAGACAGGGCCAUUGCCCUUGCAGGCCUCCCUGCUGUUUCUGAAUACACAGCUUCUUCUUGGAUUUGUUCUCUUACUCUCUUCCCUGCUAGAAGCCGUGGCUAACCUGUUCUUAUCUUCCCUGACUGAGGUGGGCCUAUUUCUCCGCUCUGUGCUCAUAGCAGCCUCCUCUAACCUCCAUUUGAGACUUUGUUUUAUUGCAGGGGUCCCCAACCCCUGGGCCAUGGGCUGGUACCAGUCUGUGGCCUGUUAGGAACUAGGCCGUACAGCAGGAGGUGAGUGGCAGGCAGGUGAGUGAAGCUUCAUCUGUAUCUGCAGCUGCUCCCCAUGGCUCACAUCACCACCUGAGCUCCGCCUCCUGUCAGAUCAGCUGGGCAUUAGAUUCUCAUAGGAGCACGAACCCUAUUGCAAACUGCACAUACGAGGGAUCUGGGUUCCCUCCUCCUUAUCAGAAUCUAAUGCCUGAUGAUCUGUCACUCUUGAUGAUCUGUCACUGUCUCCCAUCACCCCCAGAUGGGACCGUCUAGUUUCAGUAAAACAAGCUCAGGGCUCCCACUGAUUCUACGUUAUGGUGAGUUGUAUAAUUAUUUCAUUAUAUAUUGCAAUGUAAUCAUAAUACAAAUAACCUGCACAAUAAAUAUAAUGCAUUUGAAUCAUCCUGAAACUACCCUGCGACCCCCGUCCGUGGAAAAACUGUCUUCCACGAAACCGGUCCCUGGUGCCAAAAAGGUUGGGGACCGCUGUUCUAUUGCAUUACAUUCUAAUACUUUAUUUUUUAUUUCUGUUUCCUUCACUGUGGGCGAGCCCCUUCAGGGCAGGGGUUUGUUCCCUCCGAAGCUUAACAGCCUGGCGGCAGAGCUGGCCUUUGAAGGUUUUCUGUGAAAUGAGUUCACCGGUGAUUCUCCAGAUGUGGUCCCUGAACCAGCAGCAUAGCAGGGCCCAGGAACCUGUGAGAAAUGCAAUUCUCAGUCCCGCCCUGACCUGCCGAGUCAGAGCUCUGGGGACGGCACCCGGUCCUCAGCCCUCGGUUCCCGUAGCCCUUCUGGGUGAUUCUCAUGCAUGCUCUCAUUAGAGGUCAGCUGAAUAAGGCACGUGAGAGCCUAAUGAAAUAUGAUGUGAAUGGGAUUUGCUAUUACUACUCAGCCUAGACUGAAGGAUCCUGGGGUGGUGAGCGGCCGAGGGCGGAGCUGUUCCCUGGCCCCCCAUCCUCAUCACUUGGCAUGCAGGCUGCCUGAGGCACCCGAGGCGCAUCUCUUCCUCAGCCCUUGUUAGACCAUGUUAUUUCUUUUUUAAUUUUAAUUUUUAGUUCUGGGGUACAUGUGCAGGAUGUGUAGGUUUGUUACACAGGUAAAUGUGUGCCAUGGUGGUUUGUUGCAUCUAUUAACCCAUCACCUAGGUCUUAAGCUCAGCAUGCAUUAGCUAUUUUUCCUAGUGCUCUCAAUUGUGUUGUUAGUAAUACACACGGAAGUUCUAGGGAGGAACCCAAUGCCCAAAGAGAGACCCUUGAUUCUCUCUCUCUCUCCUUUUUUUUUUUUUUUUUUUUGAGAUAGGUUUUCACUCUGUCACCCAGCUUGAAGUGCUGUGGUACGAUCGUAGCUCACUGCAGCCUCAAACUCCUGGGCUUAAACAAUCCUUCUACCUCAGCCUGUUGAGUAGCUGGGACCACAGGUGCAUGCCACCACACCCAACUAAUUUUUAAAUUAUUUGUACUGACAAGUCUCCCUGUGUUGCCCAGGCUGCUCUUGACCUCCUGGGCUCAAACAAUCAUCCUGCCUCAGCCUCCCAAAGUGCGGGGAUUACAGGUGUGAGCCACUGCACCAGGACAGAGAGCACCUGAUUCUAGGAGCCAUGGUUGGGACAUCCAAGUGGAACUCUGUGGUCAUAGAACCGGGUUUCUCAUCCCACACUCUCAAAUUAAAAACAUUUUGCUACGGGAAUCAGCUCCCUUUUGCCUUAGAGUUUCUGUUUUACCUGUAGUGACAAGUAUCCCACUCUAUUUUUUUUUUUUUUUUUGAGACGGAGUCUCGCUCUGUUGCCCAGGCUGGAGUGCAGUGGUGUGAUCUUGGCUCACUGCAACCUCUGCCUCCUGGGUUUAAGCAAUUCUCCUGCCUUAGCUUCCCAAGUACCUGGGAUUACAGGCACACACUACCACACCCGGCUAAUUUUGUAUUUUAAGUAGAGCCAUGUUGGACACACUGGUCUCAAACUCCUGACCUCAAGUGAUCUACCCACCUCGGCCUCCCAAAGUGCUGGAAUUACAGAUGUGAGCCACUGUGUCUGGCCUAUCGCACUAUAUUUUAAAAUUUGGUCUAAAGGAGUUGAUGAUGAGUUUCUUUUAGCCUUUUAUUUUUUGUCUGUUGGUUUUUGAAUGUAUUUGUUAUCAGUAUCUGGAGUUUGAAAAAGAAAGAACCUCAUUUUAUGAGCUCUGUAGUGGGAGGGCUGCUUGCUAUCACUGGAUUUUCUCCCAUGGCCUAGUACUACCAUAUCUGCUUCUAGAGUGUGCUCAGCAAAUAGUGGUUUUUGAUUACUCAAAGCAAAACUGAGAAGCCAUUUAACAGGCUGGGAAAUAAUUUCUUCAGCACUGAAGAAUAUAUCCAUAGGCUGGGCACAGUGGCUGACACCUGUAGUCCCAACACUUUGAGAGGCUGAGGCUGGAGGAUCGCUUGACUGCAGGAGUUCGAGACCAGCCUGGGCAAUAAAGCAGACUCUAUCUCUACCAAAAAAAAAAAAAAAAAAAAAAAUAGCUGAGUGUGGUGGCAUGCGCCUUGUAGUCCCAGCUACUUGGGAGGCUGAGGCGGGAAGACUGAGGCUGCAGUGAGCCAUGAUGAUUGAGCCCCAGAGGCUGAGGCUGCAGUGAGCUGUGAUGGCGCCCCUGCACUCCAGGCUGGUGACAAGAGUGAGACUCUGUCUCUGUUUAAAAGAGAAAAAAAAGGUUAGGUGCAGUGGCUCAUGCCUGUAAUCCCAACACUUUGGGAGGCCAAUGAGGGUGGAUCACCUGAUGUCAGGAGUUCGAGGCCAGCCUGGCCAACAUGGUGAAACCCUGUCUUUACUAAAAAUACAAAAUUAGCCAGGUGUGGUGGUGAGCGACUGUAAUCCCAGCUAUUUAGGAGGCUGAGGCAGGAGAA
rnacentral:lncRNA from 1 species